ACAAUAUUAACAAGGUUCUCCCAUUCCCAGGGGUUAAAUUCGCCUUCUCAAUCUACGACUUUGAAGGCAAUGGUACCAUGGAUGCCUAUUACAUUGGUGACUGUCUGAGGGCCCUGAACUUGAACCCAACUCUGGCUGUCAUAGAGAAAGUAGGAGGCAAAGAUAAGAGAAAGGAGAAGAUCAUUAAACUGGAUGAUUUUCUGCCUAUCUUUGCUCAGGUGAAGAAAGAUAAGGAUGCUGGAUCUUACGAGGACUUUAUGGAAGUCUUGAAGCUGUAUGAUAAGGCUGAGAAUGGUACCAUGAUGUAUGCUGAGCUGGAGCACAUAUUGAUGUCACUGGGAGAGCGCCUUGAGAAGUCAGAACUUGAACCAGUGUUGAAGGAGUGUUGCAACGAGGAAGAUGAGGAUGGUUUCAUUCCUUACGAACCUUUUCUUACCAAACUCUGCAAAGAUAUCAAGUAGAGUCCCGUCUCUGACCUUCCUAAAGAGAGUUUUGGCCUUCAAAAUCUAAAUCAAAAUGGGUCAUUUCUACUUUCCUCAAAAAGAUGACCCAACUCCUGUAAGAAAUUCAUCUAAGAUCAUAAUACGUAUUAUCUCGUGGCCUGACAGCAACACAGCAUCACCACCGCUCUUAUGACUGUCUACAGUGUACAUUUAUUCUGUGGCUACAUCAACCCACAGACAAUAUAUAAAUUAUCAUUAUAGGCCUAAAAUGCUGGAAAAAAUUGAUGGAAAUUGAAAAAAUGAGAUUUUUUUAGUUAUAAGUGAGAAAGUGAACCUGCCCUGCUGUUCUCAUGGCUGUUUUGGUAAGGUUGGAGGCCUCUGUGGAGCUUUUGGAUAGGCCUAUCUUCCUCCAGGCCGGGGUAGGACACGGGGUAUAGCUGGGCACAGCCUAUUAACCUGAAGUGAACACUGAAUCCGCAAAUAUUAGACCCAAACCGUUGCCAUCCGGAGGGGGAACGCCCACUGCCACCAUGGGCACUAGUACCCAGGGUAUCCCUAGCUACCAGCACCAUCUCUGGGCAUGCCUAGGGGCCCCUGAGUAUUCCAGGGUAUCCCUAGCUACCAUCACUACCCCUGGGCUUGCCUGGAGGGCCCCCAGGGUACUCACCAUCACAGCAGUGCCCUGCCUGGCCCCUAACCUACCCUACCUGGGGUAUUGUCUUAGUCAGUCAGUCAGCAACAAGGCUCUGUCAGCCGUCAGUCAAGUCAGUCAAGUCUUUGUUUCACCUGCUGACUUAAGGCAACAUUAACUAUGUUCUUCAAUAAAACUAAUAACCAAAAAAUGACUUUCCUUUAUUACCCACUAAUACAUUUUUUAUUAAAUUAUAAAACUUUGUAAUAAAAA